rnacentral:rRNA from 1 species
UACGAAGGGGGCUAGCGUUGCUCGGAAUUACUGGGCGUAAAGGGAGCGUAGGCGGACAUUUAAGUCAGGGAUGAAAUCCCGAGGCUCAACCUCGGAACUGCCUUUGAUACUGGAUGUCUUGAGUGUGAGAGAGGUGAGUGGAACUCCGAGUGUAGAGGUGAAAUUCGUAGAUAUUCGGAAGAACACCAGUGGCGAAGGCGACUCACUGGCUCAUUACUGACGCUGAGGCUCGAAAGCGUGGGGAGCAAACAGG